rnacentral:rRNA from 1 species
UCACCCUUUCCUUGUCUCUUCCGCCUAUAUACCGCCGUCCGUCCAGCUUACCUUGUGAAAGACUAAUAGUAAGCGAAAUUGGUACAGCCCUAAACGCAAGGUCGAGGUGUAGCGUAUGGAAGGGGAAGAAAUGGGCUACAUUCUCUAGUAUAGAGAACACGGAUGACGUGUUGAAACACACGCCUGAAGGAGGAUUUAGCAGUAAGCAGGAAGUAGAGUGUCCCGCUGAAGUUGGCCCUGAAGCGCGCACACACCGCCCGUCACCCUCCCCGAGACUAAUCAAGCCCAAUAAAUAAAACCCUAUAAUAGUAAAGAGGAGGCAAGUCGUAACAUGGUAAGUGUACCGGAAGGUGCACUUGGAAUAAACAAU